GUGGGGAAUAUUGGACAAUGGGCGAAAGCCUGAUCCAGCAAUGCCGCGUGAGUGAUGAAGGCCUUAGGGUUGUAAAGCUCUUUUACCCGGGAUGAUAAUGACAGUACCGGGAGAAUAAGCUCCGGCUAACUCCGUGCCAGCAGCCGCGGUAAUACGGAGGGAGCUAGCGUUGUUCGGAAUUACUGGGCGUAAAGCGCACGUAGGCGGCUUUGUAAGUUAGAGGUGAAAGCCUGGAGCUUAACUCCAGAACUGCCUUUAAGACUGCAUCGCUUGAAUCCAGGAGAGGUGAGUGGAAUUCCGAGUGUAGAGGUGAAAUUCGUAGAUAUUCGGAAGAACACCAGUGGCGAAGGCGGCUCACUGGACUGGUAUUGACGCUGAGGUGCGAAAGCGUGGGGAGCAAACAGGAUUAGAUACCCCUGUAGUCC
rnacentral:rRNA from 1 species